GACGAACGCUGGCGGCGUGCUUAACACAUGCAAGUCGAACGGACAGGCCCUGCUUUUGUGGGGUGCUCGUGUGGCGAACGGGGGAGUGACACGUGAGUAACCUGCCCUUGACUUUGGGAUAACUUCAGGAAACUGGGGCUCUUACCGGAUAGGAGCUCCUGCUGCACGUUGUGGGUUGGAAAGUUUCGGCGGUUGGGGAUCGACUCGCGGGUUAUCAGCUUGUUGGUGUGGUAGUGGCUUACCAGGGGUGCGACGGGUAGCCCGCCUGGGAGGGUGGCCGGCCACAAGGGGACUGCGAGACGGCGCAGACGCCUACGGGACGCAGCAGUGGAGAAUAUGGCACAAUGGGCGGAAGCCUGAUACAGCAACGCCGCGUGCGGGAUGACGGCUUUCGGGUUGUAAACCGAUUUCGCCUGUGAUGAAGCGUGAGUGACGGUAAUGGGUAAAGAAGCACCGGCUAACUACGUG
rnacentral:rRNA from 1 species